UGCGUAGGCGGAUUAAUAAGUCAGUGGUGAAAUCUUUCGGCUCAACCGAGAAACUGCCAUUGAUACUGUUGAUCUUGAGUUCGGUUUAGGUAGGCGGAAUGUGUAAUGUAGCGGUGAAAUGCUUAGAUAUUACACAGAACACCAAUUGCGUAGGCAGCUUACUAGACCGACACUGACGCUGAGGCACGAAAGCGUGGGGAGCGAACAGGAUUAGAUACCCUGGUAGUCC
rnacentral:rRNA from 1 species